UGGGGCACCAGCUUCCUCCGACCAAGCACAGGAAGGAUGCUCACCUCGCUUGUUUCGUUUCCCCUUACGUGGGGCGGCCUUCUCCCUGCCUGCCAGGACCGGAUGCUGUGCCCUGUAUGCAGGUGAGGACACCAACCUGCCCUUUGACUUGUUUUUACAUCACUCUACACAUCCCGCAUCACAGGUUUGCCCAGCAUGAGUAGGAGGGGGAGGGGAUACGUGAUCAUCACAGCUCGUGGUGGCCAGCCAUCCUGGGCUCAGAUGUCCUUCAUCUUUAUAAAAGGCACGGGUUCCCUUUAUGAAGCCAAGUCCACGCUGGGUUACCCAGUUCACGGAAACUCCAGAGCUGACGGCCAAAUGACACUGCUCCGGGGCUGAGCCUCAUCAUUAACACCUGCUCGACCCUGUNNNNNNNNNNNNNNNNNNNNNNNNNNNNNNNNNNNNNNNNNNNNNNNNNNNNNNNNNNNNNNNNNNNNNNNNNNNNNNNNNNNNNNNNNNNNNNNNNNNCCUCAUCAUUAACACCUGCUCGACCCUGUUCCGCUGAAGCUCACUGUUCAUCUGACCUGCGGGCACAGCACCCUGAGGAGACGUUAGCCCUGCGUUUGCUAAAUGCGAGGGAGCCAACGUAUUUUCUGUGAACUUGGAGGGAAGAUGGGCUCUGCCGACUCAGCUCACAUCCCUUCGCAGACCCGACAAUCUGUGUCCUUGCCUUUGGAAACCCAGAGCCUAGUUGGACUGGCCCCUCUGUCUGUCCUUCCUCCCCUAGAGCCUGUGGUGUGCCUAAACUUUCUCUGCUCCCAAGAAACCAGCCUUCGUCGCAUGCCUUCCCCUCCCUCACUGUAUCUAUGAAAACUUGUGUUACUGUUGAGAGAUGUGGGUCUCCUGCAGACGAGGCUGAUUGAGCUACUGCCAACGGUCAGAGCUUCACGGCUGGUGCCUGUGCUGUCCCCUUGUUCUCCCCGAGCCUCCUUCAAUCAGUAGGAAAUCUGAAGGCAGGACUGACGCUUCCAGCUCUGAGACAGGGUCCUGGGCCCCUCCUGCAGAGCAGCUCACCUGAGAAGGUUUUCUGGGCAAGAGCAACAGCCUGGUAGGCUGCUCUCACUCCCCUCGGGUGUGAGUACAGGCUGUGGGAGGACUUGCUCUCUGCCCCGAGGGGAAGAGAGGAACUGCAAGGAGCCAGUGCUCCCGGCAGAGAAAUCUCUAGGCGUCUUUAAUCGGAAGAAGCAACGUGGAAUUUACAAGGGGCUGCAAGCUCUGCACGUCACAUCUGGGGAAUCUUGACACAACUGGGGUAUUUGAUUUGGCCGUUGGUGAUGCGAUUUUUCAUUGUUGACAUAAAUGUGUGCAAGAGAGCCCAGCAAACCCCUAGCAAAUGGAGCCUUCCAGCAGCUCUGCGGGCUUCUGCCUAAUUUAAAACUUCGCUGAAGCGUCUGCUGUUGGAGACCACCCAGAUGCUGGCUCACAAGCCUGGGCAGAGUGAGCUGCCAGGCGACACCACUGUUAAUCCGCCUGUUAUUUCCGCCCUGACUAGACCUGCAAGGGUCAGAGCCAGCCCCAUGAGGGUGGGUCUCCUGACGAAGGGUCCCUUUGAAGUGUCCGGAGAGGACACAGCUGCUGUAACCAUGGACAGCUGUUGGCCACGGGCUCCAAGACUAAUGGAGAUGCUGCCGGGGACAGUCCACUGAGAACCACAGCUCCUGCUGCUCGGUGAGGUGGGCCUGGGAGUGGGACGGUAAUGCAAGCUGCAGCUGAAAGGCUGACUGUUCUUGUGAUGUGGGAUGAACCUGGUCCCCCAGCCUGAUUGGUACCUGCCACACCCCCCAUUGACUGGAAGGGGCAUGGCCUCUCCAGGUGACUGAACGGCAUUCUGCUCAUUUCAUGGAAUCCGUAACAGCCCCACCUGAGGAUCUGGAGGGUGUCUGGGGAGAAGAUGGGAACAAGCAUUUCUGUGUGAAGACACACCCCAGAACUCGUGGUGGGUCUGCCUGCAGCUAGCUGGGUUUAGGUAUGAAGCCCAAGUGGUGGUGUGCAGGGCGGGGGGAUGCUCUGGGGUUGAGGCAGAGGGAACGGGACUGGCAGGAGGGCAGUGACUGGCCAGGUACACCAGGCAAUAAGGGAGCCCUUAAGCCCCCGUCCAUCUCCAGGCUCAGCAAGCCAAGGCUGUAAUGAGGAACGGGGACAGAUCUCACAGGACUCAGCUUUUUCCCCACUUGGGACAGAGACCAGGGUUCCCAGACCUCAAGGGGUGUGACUGCCUGCCUGUCCACGGCAGGGACAAGGACUCAGUGGACAGUGUCGCCACUGCACAAAUCUGCCCUGCCUCACCCCAACUCAUGCUUGCUCACCCUUUUUGUUUUAUUGGAAAACUUUAAUUGGGAGUUCUGAAAGGUCACAAUUAAUAUUUCCAAAUGAAAAACACAA
ensembl:lncRNA